GAUGAAGAACGUAGCGAAAUGCGAUACGUAAUGUGAAUUGCAGAAUUCAGUGAAUCAUCGAAUCUUUGAACGCAUAUUGCGCUCUCUGGUAUUCCGGAGAGCAUGCUUGUUUGAGUAUCAGUAAACACCUCAACUUCCAUAUCUUUUUUGAAAUGGGAGUUGGACUUGAGUGAUCUCAACGCUUUUCCUCACCGAAAAGUGGCGGGUUACUUGAAAUGCAGGUGCAGCUGGACUUUUCUCUGAGCUAUAAGCAUAUCUAUUUAGUCUGCCUAAAAAACAGAUUAUUACCUUUGCUGCAGCUAACAUAAAGGAGAUUAGUUCUUGUGCUGACUGAUGCAGGAUUCACAAAGACAGCUUCGGCCGACUUUGUAAACUCGAUCUCAAAUCAAGUAAGACUACCCGCUGAACUUAAGCAUAUCAAUAAGCGGAGGA
rnacentral:misc_RNA from 1 species